GUCAACCCAAGCAGCCACCACAAACCGCUGCUCGCCAGAGAAGUACAGGUGAAAAACCAGAAACUCAAAGGACUUGGCGGUGCCCCACACCAACCUAGAGGAGCCUGUCCCAUAAUCGAUACCCCACGUUACACCUAACCUACUUUUGCCAUUCAGCCUAUAUACCGCCGUCGCCAGCCUGCCUAAUGAUAGACCCCAUAGCAAGCAAAAUAGCCCUCACUAACACGUCAGGUCAAGGUGUAGCUAAUAAGUAGGUCUCAGAUGGGCUACAUUUUCUAAACACAAGAAAAACACCACAAGCACGAUGAAACAUAAGCUGCAAGGUGGAUUUAGCAGUAAAUAGGGCAAGAAAGCCCAAUUGAAACCUGCUCUGGG
rnacentral:rRNA from 1 species